AGUGAACGCUGGCGGCAGGCCUAACACAUGCAAGUCGAACGGCAGCACAGGGGUAGCAAUACCCUGGGUGGCGAGUGGCGGACGGGUGAGGAAUACGUCGGAAUCUGCCUAUUUGUGGGGGAUAACGUAGGGAAACUUACGCUAAUACCGCAUACGACCUGAGGGUGAAAGCGGGGGAUCGCAAGACCUCGCGCUAUUGGAGCGGCCGAUGUCAGAUUAGCUAGUUGGUGGGGAAAGGCCUACCAAGGCUACGAUCUGUAGUUGGUCUGAGAGGACGACCAGCCACACUGGGACUGAGACACGGCCCAGACUCCUACGGGAGGCAGCAGUGGGGAAUUUUGGACAA
rnacentral:rRNA from 1 species